GAUGAACGCUGGCGGCGUGCCUAAUACAUGCGAGUCGAGCGAACAGACGAGGAGCUUGCUCCUCUGACGUUAGCGGCGGACGGGUGAGUAACACGUGGAUAACCUACCUAUAAGACUGGGAUAACUUCGGGAAACCGGAGCUAAUACCGGAUAAUAUAUUUAACCGCAUGGUUCAAUAGUGAAAGACGGUUUUGCUGUCACUUAUAGAUGGAUCCGCGCCGCAUUAGCUAGUUGGUAAGGUAACGGCUUACCAAGGCAACGAUGCGUAGCCGACCUGAGAGGGUGAUCAGCCACACUGGAACUGAGACACGGUCCAGACUCCUACGGGAGGCAGCAGUAGGGAAUCUUCCGCAAUGGGCGAAAGCCUGACGGAGCAACGCCGCGUGAGUGAUGAAGGUCUUCGGAUCGUAAAACUCUGUUAUUAGGGAAGAACAAAUGUGUAAGUAACUAUGCACGUCUUGACGGUACCUAAUCAGAAAGCCACGGCUAACUACGUG
rnacentral:rRNA from 1 species